rnacentral:rRNA from 1 species
CACCAGACUCCUACGGGAGGCAGCAGUGGGGAAUAUUGCACAAUGGGGGAAACCCUGAUGCAGCGACGCCGCGUGAGCGAUGAAGUAUUUCGGUAUGUAAAGCUCUAUCAGCAGGGAAGAAGAUGACGGUACCUGACUAAGAAGCCCCGGCUAACUACGUGCCAGCAGCCGCGGUAAUACGUAGGGGGCAAGCGUUAUCCGGAUUUACUGGGUGUAAAGGGAGCGUAGACGGCGAUGCAAGCCAGAUGUGAAAGCCCGGGGCUCAACCCCGGGACUGCAUUUGGAACUGUGUGGCUGGAGUGUCGGAGAGGCAGGCGGAAUUCCUAGUGUAGCGGUGAAAUGCGUAGAUAUUAGGAGGAACACCAGUGGCGAAGGCGGCCUGCUGGACGAUGACUGACGUUGAGGCUCGAAAGCGUGGGGAGCAAACAGGAUUAGAUACCCUUGUA